rnacentral:rRNA from 1 species
UACGGGGGGGGUAAGCGUUGUUCGGAAUUACUGGGCGUAAAGGGCUCGUAGGCGGCCAACUAAGUCGGACGUGAAAUCCCUCAGCUUAACUGGGGAACUGCGUCCGAUACUGGAUGGCUUGGAUUUGGGAGAGGGAUGCGGAAUUCCAGGUGUAGCGGUGAAAUGCGUAGAUAUCUGGAGGAACACCGGUGGCGAAGGCGGCAUCCUGGACCAACAUUGACGCUGAGGAGCGAAAGCUAGGGGAGCGAACGGG